rnacentral:miRNA from 1 species
UAUCACAAGGUGCGAUAAUUG